UGAGGAAUAUUGGUCAAUGGGCGAGAGCCUGAACCAGCCAAGUAGCGUGCAGGAUGACGGCCCUCCGGGUUGUAAACUGCUUUUAGUUGGGAAUAAAAAAAGGGACUUGUCCCUUCUUGUAUGUACCUUCAGAAAAAGGACCGGCUAAUUCCGUGCCAGCAGCCGCGGUAAUACGGAAGGUCCAGGCGUUAUCCGGAUUUAUUGGGUUUAAAGGGAGCGUAGGCGGAUUGUUAAGUCAGCGGUUAAAGGGUGUGGCUCAACCAUGCAUUGCCGUUGAAACUGGCGAUCUUGAGUGCAGACAGGGAUGCCGGAAUUCGUGGUGUAGCGGUGAAAUGCUUAGAUAUCACGAAGAACUCCGAUCGCGAAGGCAGGUGUCCGGGCUGCAACUGACGCUGAGGCUCGAAAGUGUGGGUAUCAAACA
rnacentral:rRNA from 1 species